AUACGGAGGAUCCGAGCGUUAUCCGGAUUUAUUGGGUUUAAAGGGUGCGCAGGCGGCCAUUUAAGUCAGCGGUUAAAUCGUGGGGCUCAACCCCAUUCUGCCGUUGAUACUGGGUGGCUUGAUUGCGGUCGAGGUUGGCGGAAUUCGUUGUGUAGCGGUGAAAUGCAUAGAUAUGACGAAGAACACCGAUUGCGUAGGCAGCUGACCAGAUCGCAAAUGACGCUCAUGCACGAAAGUGCGGGGACCGAACAGGAUUAGAUACCCUGGUAGUCCGCACAGUAAACGAUGAAUACUUGUUUUCGGCGAUAUAAUGUCGGAGGCAAAGCGAAAGCGAUAAGUAUUCCACCUGGGGAGUACGCCGGCAACGGUGAAACUUAAAGGAAUUGACGGGG
rnacentral:rRNA from 1 species